ACAGAGGUGGCAAGCGUUGUUCGGAUUCACUGGGUGUAAAGGUCAUGUAGGCGUUUUGUUAAGUCGGGCGUGAAAUCCUAUGGCUCAACCAUAGAACUGCGCUCGAUACUGGCAGGAUUGAGUACGGGAGAGGUAAGCGGAAUUCCAGAAGUAAGGGUGAAAUCUGUAGAUAUCUGGAAGAACACCAUUAGCGAAGGCGGCUUACUGGUCCGAUACUGACGCUGAAAUGAGAAAGCUAGGGGAGCAAACAGGAUUAGAUACCCUGGUAGUCCUAGCCGUAAACGAUGGGCACUGGAUGCUGGCUCGCAAGGGUCGGUGUCGUAGCUAACGCGUUAAGUGCCCCACCUGGGGACUACGGUCGCAAGGCUA
rnacentral:rRNA from 1 species